rnacentral:rRNA from 1 species
UCGAUUAGAGUUAGAUCCUGGCUCAGAUUGCAAUAGAAAUGAGAAGGGCAUGCCUUACACAUGCAAGUCGAACGGCAGCACGGGAGCUUGCUCCUGGUGGCGAGUGGCGAACGGGAGAGUAAUACAUCCGAACCUACCCACGAGUGGGCGAUAACCUAGCGAAAGUUACUCCAUUACCCCUUAUUCUGUGAGCAAAGAGCGGGGGAUCGCAAGACCUC